AGUGAACGCUGGCGGUAGGCCUAACACAUGCAAGUCGAACGGCAGCACAGUAAGAGCUUGCUCUUACGGGUGGCGAGUGGCGGACGGGUGAGGAAUACAUCGGAAUCUACUUUUUCGUGGGGGAUAACGUAGGGAAACUUACGCUCAUACCGCAUACGACCUACGGGUGAAAGCAGGGGAUCUUCGGACCUUGCGCGGUUGAAUGAGCCGCUGUCGGAUUAGCUAGUUGGCGGGGUAAAGGCCCACCAAGGCGACGAUCCGUAGCUGGUCUGAGAGGAUGAUCAGCCACACUGGAACGGAGACACGGUCCAGACGCCUACGGGAGGCAGCAGUGGGGAAUAUUGGACAAUGGGCGCAAGCCUGAUCCAGCCAUACCGCGUGGGUGAAGAAGGCCUUCGGGUUGUAAAGCCCUUUUGUUGGGAAAGAAAAGCAGCAGGUUAAUACCCCGCUGUUCUGACGGUACCCAAAGAAUAAGCACCGGCUAACUUCGUG
rnacentral:rRNA from 1 species